ACUUUAAGCUUGGACACGAUCCUAAACAAACUCUAUGUCUAGAUGAAUGCUCAUUUACUUAACACAAUUCAAACAUCAAAUGUCUUUGGUUGAAUAAUAUGAAAGCAAUCGUAACUAGCAAGUCCAAUGGCUAUCUUAGCACCUCUAACAACAAAUGUCUUUGGCAAAGUAUGCUAAAAGCUAAGAAGAGUUGUCUCGGGCAUUUCCUCGAACACCUUUCGGGGGGGAAAUGCCUAAGGUUCAACUACUGAGUGGCCAACUCAGAAGAUGCAUUAUGCUCACUCAACUAGCAAGGAAAUAUGAAUGACCUACACUAAAACAUCCUAGUUCUAACCUAAUCACCCUCAAUCUCCCUAACCCAUGAAUUCAAAAGGUGAUUACUCACUAAUCUCCAUGAUUCCUCUUAAACCCAUGUUGGAUUUCAGAUUAAUCAUGUAGAGAAACACAGGAAAUAGAUAAGAACACAGAAUUCUCAAUAAUAAACUGAUCAAUUCAUUCAAAGAGAUGACUUUCCAAAGGUUUUUGGUGGUUUUUUCUAAGAACAAAGAUGAUCCCCCUCUUGGUGGCUCCUAGAGUAUUAAAACAUAGGUUUAGAAAAUAAAAACGUGCAUAAUGAAAUGACCAAAAGGCCCUUGAGAAAUCACAAAUUCGAGUAGAAAUAAAACGCGCAGCGACCUCAGCCCGUCGCUCCGACAAGUCGCUCCAGGCUUCGGGAGCGACCUCGCUGUGUCGCUGCAAGAGGUCGCUCCGGGCUCGUUCUCGCGUCUCCGGGUGAUGAAACCGCGAGCGACUUCUCCCUGUCGCUCCCAUAACGUCGCUCCCAGCUGGAGCGACCUCGCUGUGUCGCUCCGAGAGGUCGCUCCGGGCUCGUUCUCGCGUCUCCGAGUGAUGAAACCGCGAGCGACUUCUCCCUGUCGCUCCGGUUAGGUCGCUCCAGUAGGGUCAUCAGAGCGACCUCGCUGUGUCGCUCCGGACUGGUCGCUCCCAUGCCUUGCUCGCCCAAUGACCACUCUAAACACUCCUUUUUGAGCUCCAAAUGCCUCCAAGUGUCUCCAAGAACUCCAUGUGGUACUCCAAUACCUGAUAAGGACUCAUGUAUGCAAAAUGCAACCUAAACAUGGCUAAAUCCUAAUCUAUAUGAUCAAAAUACACAUGGAUGAAUGGAUAAAACAAUAGAAAUAUGCAAGAUAUCAAUGGUGAAAUAAAGUCGAACUAUCACAAUUACACUUCAGCGGUUGGGAGUGGGAAGAAGGCGAUGCAAGAAGUUAUCUUGAACUGGUAUAAUCAAAUCUCAAAAAUUCAUAACAUAUACCAUCCCAAGAACUGGGAUUUACAUCAAUCUCAAAAGUUCUUAGCAUCUUUUUGAACUUUCUGAGAAGAAUAAUUUAACUUGGACAAGGCAUUGAUGAUUGCACAUCAAUGGAGGAAAGCUCAAGAAUUACUGGUCAGUCACUUUUCACUUCAAUAUCUUAAACAGAGGAGGAAUAUAUGCGAAUGAAAACCUAAGCUCUCAGUACUCAUCCGCUGUAUCAUCCUCUCUUGAUGUUGCUAACACCAGCCUUCUUACUUCCGUUAAUCGUGAGAUAACUAAUUCCUUUAAAUUUGCAGAUUUGGAUCAAAUAUUAUUCGUUGUUUUGCUGAAAAUUUACCCCUUUUCUCUCAGAUUCGCUGAACCCAGUAAUGAUGCAUGUUCUAAGAUCAACUCCAUGAUUAUCCCCUGCUGUGAAGACUUGAUAGAGCCCAAGAGUGAUCACAGUCACAAUAUUGUAGAGAUCACAAACAACACAGGGAAAUAUCUUCUUGAUGAAAACUUAGUAAGUUUCAUGAUUCAAUCUGCACUAAACAAACCCAGAAAAAUGCAACGUACCAGACAUUAUAGCUGGUUUUACAUGACGAUAGGAAUGUUGACUUUGGUGCAAACAGGUGGAUAAACCUUCGUGUUCAACGCCCAGGAAAAGACCAAACGACAUACCAAGCAUUGAGUCCAUUGAGGUACUUAGAAUUCCAGUAUCUGAGACUUACUGAGAGCGUUUCAAGAUGGGAAACUGUUGAUGCAGGCCAAUGGUGAUGCAAAGGAGCAGCAACACCUUAUACGUGCUUUCUCUGUCUAUGCAGCAGCUGUGUCGGACUCAAGAUCUCCUCUCUCUGCUGUUAACUGAUACCCAAAGAGGAUUAGUCAUAAAUAAGCCAAGAAAAGAAGGUUAUUAACUUAUUAUUGUGUCACACUCUACAGAAAGAGUAUUGUUGCAUACAUGUCAACUUAUUUUCUUCAUGGAACUGGUUUGAGGAUUUUUACAAAAAACUUUUCUUAGUAUUCUUUAUUUGUUUAGUUAAGAUUUGUAUUGUUUAUUAGUUGGAACAAAAUAAUUUUUUUUAUCUUCUGAAUCAGUAUAUUAUGAGUCCUGUUAGUUUUAAUUACAAGCAAUUCUAUUAGGUUUACGGUGUUGGAUACGUCAUGAGCUUGAGAUUAGCGAUUUCUAAUGGUAUAGUUCCAGUUAAAAAUUGUUGCUGAGUUCAAGGUAAUUUAAACAGGGCAAGAUGGAUUCUGAAUCUGGUAAUGGACCAGUAUAUUGGUUUCCUCUAACCGAAAUCGUUUUUAUGUUGGUAAGUAUGCCUGUGUUGGCCGGACAAGGACCAUGGAGACGGAUACCACUGAGGCUAAAGGACUGCAGAUUUGGCUAUGGCGAAAUAAAUGGUUGGAAAGGUCCGGUCAUGUUUUUAAGAUUGAUAAAGGUGAGCAUUUCUAAAUACUGGACUUUUGCCAGCGACAGGGAGAUAAUGCCAGUAAGAACAAAUAUGGGAUUAACCGAAUCUAUGUGGACAGUGUGUUCGACAACUCUGUGAUCACCCUUAUAGCAACAAAAACGUCCCACAAGCAAUAAUCAGUACCUUUCUUUCAGUUACUUAAAACUACUAAAGAGUCUUGGGUUAUACUAUAUUGGAAAGCGAAAAGACCGCCUCAUCAUCGGGAUGCGACGCAGCAGCUCCCUUGGAUUUAGAUAUGGACAAAAGAUAGUGGCGCUAAGAUGACGAGAUGGAAAGAACAAGAGUUCAUGGUGUUGUUGUUUUAAAUAUAACUAAUGAUGUGAACAAAUAUUUGACAUGCGUAAAAGGAAAAUACGAAGAGAGAGAUGCAACAAGGUUUAAUCAGAAGUUUAAUAUCCAAUGAAAUUCAUUAAAAUAAAACGAAGAUAAAAAAUUCUAUUGUUGAUGUCCAUCAAAAUUGUGUUAUUGUUUUCAUCAAAAUUGUGGGUUCCAUCUGUAAACAAAAUGUUAGUAUCUAUGUUAGUACUUAUUAUCUAUGUAAAUACAUACAACACACAUGAACAAUCGUUAGAAGAAGAAGCAACCAAGUUUCAUGAAGCAAUCUAUACUAUAAAAAUAAUUUGUUUAUUGUUCUGUAAAACUAUCCACGUAGGCAUGGAAAUUCAGAAAAAGAUUGACCCAGUUAAACGUCAUGAGCAGCUCAAUCCAUUCUUCUUCAUUUUUUCUUAUCUACUUUAAAAAUCAUUUUUUCCUGUUAAUAGAUAGUAUAACAGGGGUGGUCCUGAGCAUAGAGAAGUAAAACAUAGGACUAGGAUUCCCAAUUUUUUAGAAAAGAAAUUACACAAAGUCUCCAAAAUCAUAAAAAAAAAUUGUUAAAACUUCGGUAAAAUAUUUAUGGCCCCCAUCAUUUCAGGAACGCCCUUGACUACCAUUAGAACAUACUCCGAAAUCUGAUACUUUUAAAUAUUAGUUAUUUUACCUUAGAUUUUUUCAACUAUAUCAAAUUGAAAUAGAAAUCGAAUAGAAAAAUUUUGUGUUCUCUAACAAAAACAUUGUUAAUGGUUUUUUCAACUCAAACCAACAAAACUUAAUUAAACCUACAAUAUAUUUUUUGAAUAAAAACAGAUUACGUUUAUUAUUUUCAGUAUAAAGUAAAAUUUCAAAUAUUUUAUAAAAUUAAAAUAUAUUCUAAUAUAAAAUAGUUUUAGUGUAAAUUCAUCCGCCCGUAGGGCGGACAGACCCCUAGUAUUAUUAAUAACACAUAAAUGUGCAAUAUUCGGAGCAUAUUAUUCAAUUUAUGUUCCUUCUAUAUGCAACAUAAUUUAUUGACCGGUUGAGCAUAUACUCAUAUUUUUAAUCACUUUUCGAUCAUGUUACUAAACUGUAAAAUAUUAGAAUUUACAUUUUAUACAAUCAUAAAAUUCUUAGCCUUCUUAUGUGUAUUUAUACUAAAUUUUAUACAAUUAUAAUUUUUUAGGUUUUAUCAGAUUAUUAAUUAAUCAAUUUUAAUUAAACCCAAAUUUGUAAAAACAUAUCAGUUGAUAGAACUUCUGAUAGAAUGCUACAUGAAGAACAUAUGCCAAUCCGGAUUAUAUAUGGCUAUGGGGUUUAUCAGAACGACCACGGGUCCGGAUCAGAUAAAAACACUGUUUAUAUCUUAAUUCGACUAUAAACCACAUAUGUACCCCCACUAAAAGGGGUUAAACUAUUUGUAAAAAUAGAAUACUUCUUCGUACUAUUUCAAUUUAAAUUCACUGUUAGUCUGUAGCAUUCGGUUUCGGUUUGAGUAUUUUGGUAUUUUGGUUCACGAAAUUUAGGAACAGUUGUUUACAAAGUUUGCUUUGGUUUUAGUUGAGUUGUUUUGUUUUUCUUUUAUUUGGCUCAUUAGCAAAGUUGAGAAUCGCCAAAUAUGCAAAAACAAAUUGGGUCCAAUUCAGUUAUUGUUCGAUUCUGGUAUUUCAGAUAGUUACAAAUUUAUAGAUAAAAAUAUUAGAUAAUUUGAUUGUUCGGAUAAAAAUAUGAGAUCAUUCGAAUAAUUUUAAUAAUAUAAAUACAAAAAAUUUGGGUAAUUCGGUUUAUAUAUAGUAUUUUAAAAAUAUUUGGUUAUUUAUAAAUUAAAUAUAAUUAAUAUUAGUAAAUAUAUAGUUUAUAUUUUAAAUUUUCAGUUACUCAUUUGGUUCUCCGUUAAUUAUAAAAUUCAGUUUAUUUUUAGUUUCAGGAUUUUCAGUUUGGUACAAUUUAGUUCGUGGUUCCGAAUAAAUGUGAUCAAAUCUAUACGAAAUAUAUUAUAUAAAAAUUCAUUUAAAAUAUUUUUUAUUUAAAAAAAAACUCGCACUUUCCAAUCGCAAGUCAAAAUCUAGUGGCACAUUAUACUACAUACAUUAUACCGAAAAAGUACACCAUUCUUAAGUUUUCUAACAUUACAUAAAUUUCUGUGAACUUUUUCUUAUCACUAAAAAAUUCUGUAAACUCAAUGUAUAGUGGCAUCUCCAAUGAUUUACAUCAUUUUGUAAGCUCAAAAUGAUUUCUUAUUUUACUUAAGUGGUUUUCUUCAUUUUUCUCCUCAAAAUAGAAUAAUCUAUAUAUAUUAUAUUAUUAAUAUUUAUUAUUAGUUCUAAUAAUGUUUGGUAUUUUUAAAAUAUACAAAUUUUAUCCAAAAAUAAUUUUAUUUUAACUAUAUCUAUAUUAUAUAUAUAUAUAUAUAUAGUUUCUAAAAGAAUAUAAAUGACAUACAUUGUUAUAAUUGUAUUAUAAAAGGGUUAUUGAAAAUUUUAAAGUAUAAAAUACAAAUAAUAAAUCUUUAUAGAUAUAAAAAUUAUAUAAAAGUUUAAAGAUCGAUUUAUAAAUGAGAAAAAAGUCUAACACAAAAAUGAGAUUGUAAAUAGUGUUCCUUUGAAUUUGAGGGAAGACUAUUCACAAACUUAUUUUUUCUUUCGAAAUAAUGUAUUAAUAAAAGAUGGUAUCGCUUAUUUUUGAUGUUUUUCUUCAAAAUGAAGUACAAUUGGUGAUGGUCUAAAUGUAAUGGAGUCAGAAUGUAUCUUUUAUUUUCUUUUUUCAUCUGAAAUUCUAUUGAUUUUAAUAUAAGCAGUGAACCUUAUAAAACACAGUCUCAACCCUACACUAAAAAGCUACACAUUCGAUUAAAGGAUACACAAGCCGCAGAGUAUCCUACACAUUUGAAGUGUCUCCAAGUUCAACCCCAAAAAUCCCCAAAAAGAAAACACAUGUCAGAGGCCUCGGCUUUCAUUGACAAAAUAUUCAAAUAACCAGUCUGGAUGACUGGAGGCCACAUACGAUUGCAUUAAGCCAUACUUUGUCACACUUUGUGCAAUGAUAGACGCUCCUCUAUUUGCUUCUCUAGUCACCACCCGAAGCUGCUUAUCACUGAUCCCACUCAGCUUCAACUCAAUCUCCCCCGCCUGAUACAAGAACGCAGGCCACACAGUCUGAGUACCGCUCCGAUCAGUUCUCCCAUUUCCCCUUCAAAAAUCACAUUGUUAAUUCGCUGGCUCUGCAUGCUCUCAAUACCCCAAAGAAGAACUGAAAAUUUUGCUUUACCAGAUUCUGAAUGUUUGCAAAAACUCUUUGUGAGUGGCACAAAAUCACUCCUAUUUCGUUUCUCAAAACCCAAACAGCCCCUACUAGUGACCUUUGUUUACAUUAUCGCAUCCCAAUAUUGCAGGUAACCCAUUUGGCCGGAGGCAGGGUCCAUUUGCACCCUUUUACAACAUAUAUAUUUUCUUCUAUCCUCACAGCCUCUUCCUCAAAUCUUUGUGCCUGAAACCAUUUCUCUGAGUCCUACUCCGCUUUACUAACAAUGUCCAAAGCUGAGAAAGCCCCAUUGUCAAAAAGAAAAUAGUUCUUAUUUUUUCCACAAUUGCCACAAAACCCAAGGCCAAACUCUCCUUGCUUCGAUCCCUAUCGAUGUUCUGGUCAGUGACAGAAGAAAAAUUAAAUUCUCAAAGAUAGAAUGGAGAUGGAAACCUCGUUGAGGAUGAGGGAUGGUGGAAAGAGCCCAUGCUUGACGUGCAACAGUGCUAGAGAAUAUAAUAUGGUUGAUAGAUUCACCCUCCUCGCCACAUGCUUGACAUCUAUUAUCAACCUUCAUCCCUCGACGUUCCAGAGAUAAGCCGGUUGGAAAAGCAUCACUUAAGACUUUCCAGAGAAAGCAUUUAAGCUUGGAAGAAAUAAUAACCUUCCAAACUUGAUUUAUAAGCUCAUUUAUAUAUGGUAGCAUCUCUGCUUUCCUUCUCACAUCAGUGAUUUUUUGAGACGUCGCUAACAAAUACGAAAAACUUUACCGAGAAAGCUCCACUCCUGUUGACUUUCCACGACCAAAAAUCAUCUCUUUGAGCAACAUGUUGGUUUGCCAUCAUCCAUUUAACAUCUCCUGGAACAAACAUUUCCUCAAGUGCUUGUCUGUUCUAUCUUCUUGAAUCUUGGUCGAUGAGUGAGGAAGCCAAAAUAUUGACAUCAUAUGAGUAAUUCUUUAUCCACAGUGCUCUCAUUCCCUCAACAUCAUCGUCAACCCAUUUGUCAAUUCAUACUCUUGUCUUUCUACCAUUCCUCAUCUGAUGCUUGAGACCCUUGAGUAAAAGCCCCCUUCCAAAAAGGAUGCUUUGCCAUUCAUAAGAUGAUCUGUCUUCAAGGGUAGCAUGAAGGAAAUCACACCGCAGAAAGUAUAUGCUCCGUAAGAAACUUGGCAUCAACGAGUUUGGCUUUGUAAGGAUAAUCCAGGCUUGUUUAGCCAGGAUCGCCUAAUUAAAACACUUCAAAUCCCCAAAACCCAAGCCUUCCAAGUCCUUGGGUAAACGUAUUUUAUUCCAAGCCACCCAAUGAAUUUUCGUGUAUGACCAUCCAAACUCCACCAAAAGUCAUCCAUGAUGUUGGAGAGGUUGGAUAAGACUGUCUUUGGAAUCCAAAAAUACGACAUCGCAAACACUGGAUUGCUGAUGCAGUCGCUUUGAGUAAAACUUUCUUUCUCCUCUGUGAUAGCUUUCACAAUACCAUCCAUCUAAUCAAGAUUUUGAUUUCUCUUUUAUAUAUGACAAUAGAUCAACCUUUGAUCCGGAAAAGCACUCAGUUAAUCCUAGAUACUUACUAGUGCCCCCUGCAUUUAAAAUCUCCAUUAUCCUCCUGAUUUCUGUUUCAACCUCAUCACUGACCCUAUCACCAAAAGACAUGGAAGAUUUUUGGUAAUUGAUGUCUUGGCCAGUGGCUGCUCAAUAUCUCUUUAAGAUGUCAUGAAGGACUUUAUUUUGGGACACUUUCACUUAACAAACAAAGAGACUGUCCUCAGCAAAGAGGAGAUGAUGCAAGCUAGGACCACCUUGUAUCGCUCCUUCUUCUUCUGCCUUGUUAAGGAGAUGUGUGAGACUUCGGUACACAAGACAGAUAAAAAAGAAGACAGAAGAUCACCUUGACGAAUGCCUUUACCAAGGAUAUCAAGCCAAAAGGUUGGUCAUUAAUGAGCACUGCAAAUGUUACCGUCAUAAUACACAUCAUGAUCCAAUGAGCCCAUUGGUCACUGAAACCCUUACGAUCAUAAGACUUUUCAAAUAGUUCCAUUUCACUCUAUCAUUUCAACAUGUCGGUUUUUACGGUCAUAUAAUCCUCCGAUGCUAUCUGAUCAACCUUCAACACAUGGACUGCUUCAUGUGCGAUAAUAAUAUUAUCUGAGAUGAGCCUUUCAGUCACGAAAGCAGUCUGAUUGCUCUAUAUGAGAUCCCUCAGCAAAGGUUUGAGGCAUUUUAUGAGAAUGUUUGAAACCGCUUUAUAGAGUACAGAACAUAGGCUGAUAGCUCUGACGUCUGUCGUUACUUCUAAUUUAGGGAUCUUUAGAAUUAAGCAUAGGUAUGUGAAAUUUCAAUCUGUAAGCAUAAAAAAAAACCUCUUGAACCUCCUUUACAACAUGUUCACCUAUUAUUCCCUAAUCCCUGUUCAAAAAUGCGGGCGUUUAGGCGCCCUCCUAAUCGCUAUAUGGACACCAGCUUAAGCGAUUUUGAUAUAAUAAGCCAAUAAAAUAGGAGACCAUUUACUCGACCCAUUAAGUCGAUUAGGCGGCCCAAUAAAAUAUUAAGCGGCCUAAUUAACGACUAAUCAUGCCACCAAUUAAACUUCAAUUAUAAACUAAGAAAGUAUUUACUGGGCUUGACAGGAAGCCCGAAGCCCAAAUACUCUACUAUUCUCCUAGCAUGACUAUCUAUAUAUAUAAAAAAAUGUUUGCUUCACUCCUGAGCUUUCCACGUCACUAAUUAGCUUUCAGAAAACGUGACACGUGUCUUCAUUUUUCUUAUUUCGAAGAUGUGAAUCGAUGUUGGAUUUUGACAUAACUGAACCAUUUGAUUUGGGCUUAAUCAAAUUGGCCCAAACAUUUCUUCUCCUAUCUCCAACUUCGUCGUCUUCUCAUCUACCAUUUUUAUUCUCAGCCUCUGCGAACCCAUCAGUUGAAACGCUCCUCCAGAUUUUAAAACAACUAAUAACUUCUCUCAUUUAUGGCCUUCCACCUUGAUGCCCCACUACGUGCUCUUAAUUACCUCAUAAACUUUCUAUGGUAUUUGUGAACAAUCAUGUCAUCUGAGCUGAAACAAACUCUAACCAAUAGAUACGGUGCUUUCAAUGGGAGAUCAUAGUGAUUGCUCUCUUUGCAGAAUUCAUACUCAUCCUAGCCGUUUCAUGGUAAGAGCUCCUGGUAUGAAUCCGUUAAAGAUUCCAUCGACUAAACCGAGCUCGGUGACAGAAGGUAUCUCGAUGAAGGAGAAGAAGCUGUAAGCUGGUUUUCAUAUUAUCUUGGAAAACAAAGCCGUUUGGUUCAGUUUUAAAGAGACUGGCACCACACCUUCACCUUCUGAGUAUGCAGCAGACUACUCCACAACAUUUUCAGAUAUGAUUCCAUUUUUGUUUGUAUAUUAGGCAUUUUCAGACCAACUUAAUACACUUCAACACAUAGGCGUCGUCCAGAAAAUAGAAUCAGUCACGGUGUCAGAGCUUUACGCAUACGUCCUUAACUUGCAACCACGGGCCCCUUUUGAAGAUAUCAACUUUCCAGCACUAACCUUCUAAACUCACCGUCAAAUCUACCGAUUUAGACACUACAACCGUGAGGUAGCACCGAGCGACCCCACUCUGCAGUAUCCCGAAACCGAAACUCCUCCACACCUUCACCAUCGUCCUCAAACGGUAUCCACUGCUUCUCAUGACGACCUUAAAGAGAAAGCAAGCAUCCAUCUAGAUCUGCACCUUACUAACAGGUCAUGUUGCUUAAUCUAACGAAGUAAAGAAGAAAUCGAAGAACCCUCUCUCACAACUUAAAAUCCAGUUCUAAUAUGAACGGAUUUGGAGCCUCUGUCAUAGGUCUAGAACUUUCUCUCAAUCGUUUUUUACAAAUAAUCACUCUUGAUUUCAGUUUAGAAAAUAUUGAUGUAUAUCAGUCCUUUUAGUUUGUUUUGAAGUUCUUUUGUCAUAGAAUAAAUUACUUUGGAUAUAUAUAAAGUUUACUACUUCGGCCUUUUUUAAAUUUCCCAACAGUUAUUUGAUAGUUGCACGAGAUCUCUUUUUAUAAGUUCUCUUCUACUUGACAUUUUGCGUGAAUUAGUCUCUUCAAUUGGUUGCCCUGCAAUUUACAGCAUCUUUUUUUCCUCUCAGCUUUCUUCAAUGCUUAAACCUCAAUGUAAAUCUCAAUAAAUACCCAAGAGAAGUCAGCAAAUCAAUGAAAGGAGUGACGAGACAGUGAACAUCAGUGAAAUCAAACUUUAUAGCCAGUUUUAGAAUGUUGGAAGGGUAAGUGUUUUUUUAUGUUUAAUAAAGCGACCACCUGAAUCUAGAGAUCAAUGAACAUUGACGAAUAUAAUUCUCGCAACUUUCUAUUCUGUUAUAGUUUCUCUUAUUUACUGCUCCAAGUCCCACGCUAUACAUGAGUUUAGUAACAAAGCUCUUUAUUCAUGGAGAAGGUUAAAGUAUGCAACAAUAUAUUCAGGUUUGUUGUGAUGAUUUUCUAAAUUUCUUAAAAUUGAUUUAACAAAGGAGUGGAGAGACUGGGAUGAAGAGGUGAUACUGCGGAUUCCAUAGCGUGCCACAUUUUGCAAUAACAUGUUAGAUCACAUUGUAGCUCUACAUUGUUCUCAAUAUUAAAUGAAAGUUUUUCAACAACACAGUAGCUAAUGCGUGGAAAACUGGUUUGGCUACAAGGGUUUUAAGCAGUUGACUUUUUUUCCUAUGGUUAGAGAACAUUAUCAGCUUGGGGAUCUCCUAAUAAAGUUACAAUUUUUUUAAGGCCAUUGCAAAUUAGUAGACAUUAAUUUACAAGAACUAAUUUUAUUCAAUAAUAAAAUAUAAUCAAUAUAAAAUAAUCUAAUUAUGUAUAGUAACAUUAUUGUAAGAAUUAUAUUUUAUAAGUUAGUCAGUAAUAUUUAUUCCAAAAAUUCUAAUCAAAAUAAUGGGUAAAUUCAUUUUCAUAUAUAAUGAUAUAUAGGAUUCUAAUAAACAUGUGUACAUAUAAAUAGUAAUGUAGUUUCAUAUUAUCUAUUUAUCUGUCUUAAAGUAGUUUUAAUUAUAAUGAAUUAGUUUUUUUUUAUAUCGCAUAAAUUAUUAGUUUAAAAGAAAAUAUGAAAAGAAAAAGAAACAAUUCAAUACAUGAAAAAAUAUAUCUAAGAGUAAAUUUAUUGUAACUAGACAAGUUUGUAAUUUUAAAAUACAUAGAUAAGAUUACUGCAAAACAGUUAUGAACCUUAAUUUUAUUUGAAGUUAAAAUUAAAACAAAAUUUAAAAUUAAUUUGAAAAAUAAAUUUUACUCAUCCGCCCGCCCGUAGGGCGGGUUUACCCUAGUUCUAUAUAUAGAAUAAGAUUUUGCCUCUCUUUUCUUUUCUAACCGAUGUGGGACUUUGUCCAUCUAAUACAAAUAAUGCGAAAAUAUUAAAUUACAACUAGAGAGCAUCAAAUCCGGGCUGAUGGACCUAAAACAUCACACUUGGCCACUAGGAGACAUCAAACUUUAUCUACUUUUACACAUAUGUUAAUAUAUAGACAUAUACAUAUGAUAAAAAUUCAAAAACUAGUCUAGAUUAAUUUGUGUUUCAAUUAUAUGGCAUUCAUAUAUACUGACAAUUAAUUUUUGUUAAACCCAUAAAUAUAAAUUCAAUAAUAACAUACAAAAAACUAUUACAUUCUAAUAUAUUUAUAUUUUAUAUUUAAUUUAAAUAUUAAAUAAAUAAAAUAAUAAUUAAACUAAUUUCCGCAUAUAUCCCUUUUAAUCUCGAGUUUUUUGGUAAUUUGCUAGGUCUGGGAUUGCCAUCCGACUAGCACUUAGCAUAGUUACGAACAAGGGUCCCAAUACCUCUGGAAGAAUAAACCCGAAAUCCCGUCAAGACCAGUAUUGUUUUGAUAUUAACAAUAAUAGUAAUGUGGUUUGUAAAAGAAUUAAUUUUUGUUGUAAAACCAGUGAACUGAAGUAUUUUCGAAAGAAGAAAGUAAUGGGCCGCCUCUUUGACUGGAUCUGUGCAUUGGGAUGGCUACGUAAUCCCUACUGCCUUGGCACUCUUUCUGUUUUGGACUUCGUUUAGAGCAUCUUUAUCCCAUGAGAAAAGGGAGCGCUUAAAGUUUGGGGUCCCACCAAAAACUCAAGCACCGCUGCUUCUGCCUGCUAAAUAAGCAUCGUGUUUCUUUUGUUACUUGUUCUAUUUGUGAGCCUCACGAAUACGCGGUGGCCCACAAUUGAUUUUUUUUUUUAGUCAGAUAAAUAAAUUAAAAAAAAAAAUUUAAAAAUUAAAAAUUAAGUAUCCCUAAUGGAAUGCUGGGAUAAAGAUGGUCUUAGUAUGAUCUUUAUUUACUCUUUUUUAAUAAAAAGGAUAUUUGUAAAGAGUAGAGCUACUGAUAUUUUUUAUUGGCACCCAUAUUUAUGAUGUGGUUAAGGAUAUCAUUAAAUAAGGUAGCUUGUCACAAGAAAUUUUUACCCUAAGAGACACAUUCUAAGUUGUCAAUUACACUAAGAGACACAUUGGACAUAGAAGACACAUUACCCUAACAAAAUUACCAACAUAACCUCUAACUAAAGGAUAUCUAUCUAGACAAAUAAAAUAAAUUAAAAAUCAAAAUAUAACAUCACUUUAUCUCUUUGGCAUCUGUUCCUCUUUCAAACAAAAUCCCUAAUUUGAGAAAACUGUGAUACUACGAAACUCUAUCCCCUUUCUCUUGUGCGACAAAUUUGUAAUAAACUUUCGAUGCCGCUCUAAAUCUUCUUGAUUCGUCUCUCUCGACAUCGUAUUACUGUAUUCUACCUCUCGAUUUCAGUAUCUGUAUCGUUCCUUGGCUCGACCGCCGCCGCGUAGUCUUCAAAGCUCUUGCUGAUUAGUUCUUGAUCUCGAUCUCUGUUCUUCUCCGCCUCUUUUGAUUCACAGACAAACUCCACAUGGAAAGUUAGACCCCGCUUCUUAGAUCAACUAGUUGACUCUGUUUUUUCGGCCAAACCCUAUGAAAGUGACGGUGGCUCUCUUGGUCAAUGUGUACGUGGAUAUUGUUGAUGUGGUCGGAAGAAUUGUGGAUGAGGAUCUCGUAGUCAGUGGUUGUGUUGAUGUUGUUGAUGUGACCGGAAGAGUUGUGGAUGGAGCUCUCGGUGGUGGAUACGAAAGUGGUAAUAGAGGGAGAGGAGAUACUGGAGGUGGUGAUUAAUGGAGGUGAUGAUAGCUCUCUUGGUCAAUGUGUGUGUGGAUAUUGUUGAUCUGGUCGGAAGAGUUGUGGACGGGGUUCUCAUGGUCAGUGGUUGUGUUGAUGUUGUUGAUGUCGUGACGUGUGGAUGUGAUCGGUGUGGACGGCAGUUGUGUGGACAUGGUGGUUGUGGACAGUUGUGUGGAUGUGGUGGCUGUGGACAUGAGAGUGGAAGGGGGGGGGGGGGGAGGGUCAAGUGCGCAAUAGGGUGGUCAGAUGAGAUAUGAAUAACAAUAAAGAUCUCACUUUUGUCUUCCAUUUUUUGGGUAUUUACGAGAUUUUUAUAAGAUGAAAGUUUCUGCAUUUUGUAAACGUUUGUAUUUUUUCGUAUUAAACAAUUAGAUUUUGUUCAUAUACAUUUUUGUUUAGAAACUAAAAGAAAAAUCUAUCAGUGAAAGGGUUAAAGCCGUGUGAUUCACAUGACAUCACACUAUUCUCAUAAACAAAAACUAUACGUUAAAGAACAACAUUUAUUAAAGCCAAAACUAUACGCCUCUUCUGAGCCAUUAGAUCUUGUUUCACCAAAAAAAUCAACGGUCCAAACAAGAGACCCUAAAACCUAUAUACCUACUUUUACUUUUUCACCUUUUGUAUUUAUUCCAACCAAGAGUGUUAUCUAGUUUAGUUCCUUAAAGGGAACAUUCUCUUUCCUAACUCACGCGGAGGGCUUUAAUGUCCAACAAAAAAACAGCUGUCCCAAUAUGUGCUCCAUCUACACAAUGUGUCUUCAAGCGUUAACAAAAGAGAGAAAGUGUCCCUCAGUGUAAACGUCUCUUGUCACAAACUACAUUUUCUAUAGAGUAGCUGACUGAUUUUGUUUUUCGUUUUGUCCAAAAAUAUUAGCCAUUUGAUGUAAUGUUACUGCUGGGUCCUGAGUCCUGACCAAAGAGAUAAACAUAUUGAUAGGCUUUUUCUUUGAAAAUAGAUGCACUUAUAGCCUUUAGGUAAUAAACUUUUCACAAUACAAAGAAUACUCAUAUUUAUCAAAAAAAAAAAGAAAUGCUUAAACAAUUCUUAUAAUUGAGUCUAAAAAGUUUGAAGUAAAAAUUAAUUAAACUACAAAUAUGACCUUUUCACUAAAAGAAAACCAUUUAAAAGAAAACUGAGAC